GCUGGCGGCAUGCCUAACACAUGCAAGUCCCACGAGACCUUCGGGUCUAGUGGCGCACGGGUGCGUAACGCGUGGGAACCUGCCCUUAGGUUCGGAAUAACUCCCCGAAAGGGGUGCUAAUACCGGAUAAUGUCUUCGGACCAAAGAUUUAUCGCCUUUGGAUGGGCCCGCGUUGGAUUAGCUAGUUGGUAGGGUAAAAGCCUACCAAGGCGACGAUCCAUAGCUGGUCUGAGAGGAUGAUCAGCCACACUGGGACUGAGACACGGCCCAGACUCCUACGGGAGGCAGCAGUGGGGAAUAUUGGACAAUGGGCGAAAGCCUGAUCCAGCAAUGCCGCGUGAGUGAUGAAGGCCUUAGGGUUGUAAAGCUCUUUUACCCGGGAUGAUAAUGACAGUACCGGGAGAAUAAGCUCCGGCUAACUCCGUG
rnacentral:rRNA from 1 species